GACGAACGCUGGCGGCAUGCUUUACACAUGCAAGUCGAACGCGAAAGGGGGCAACCCCGAGUAGAGUGGCGAACGGGUGAGUAAUGCAUCGGAACGCGUCCUGUAGUGGGGGACAACCCCGAGAAAUCGGGGCUAAUACCGCAUACGAUCUGCGGAUGAAAGUGGGGACCGCAAGGCCUCACGCUAUAGGAGCGGCCGAUGCCGGAUUAGCUAGUUGGUGGGGUAAAGGCCCACCAAGGCGACGAUCCGUAGCUGGUCUGAGAGGACGACCAGCCACACUGGGACUGAGACACGGCCCAGACUCCUACGGGAGGCAGCAGUGGGGAAUUUUGGACAAUGGGCGCAAGCCUGAUCCAGCCAUGCCGCGUGAGUGAAGAAGGCCUCGGUUGUAAG
rnacentral:rRNA from 1 species